rnacentral:lncRNA from 1 species
UUCAGUAAUCAGACUUUGGGUUUGCUCCUCAAUGAUUAUCAGUUUGAGUUCCCUCAAAGCCACUGAGAUAAGUACUCAACUAUAAACUUCAGGAUCUUGUGAGAUUAGUCGAGGUGUACGUAAGUUGGCCCGGACACCAACUGUCAUAAAAAAAAUAAAAAUUUAAAUAUAUGAAAAAAUUGUGAUGUCAAUUUUGUACUUUAGUUUUACAAAAAUAUGAAGUCGUGUGAUUAAUAUAAACGAUUUAUUUUACUACAAUUUAAAUUUAAUCAUAUAAACAUAAUCAUCUAGUCCUGCAUUUCAGUUGUAAUGGUUUUAGAGAGAUGAAGGUGAAAAAAAUUAUUUUUCUUUUUAUCAUUUUGUUAUUUUAGAUUAAGAAAAAGUCUUCUUCUUUAAUUUCUUUUAUUUUCUUACAUGUAAUUGGAAGUGAUUUUAGGACAUAAGGCAUGUGAAGGCACGGGCAUUUUUUAUGGUGAAAUUGGAUGGUAAGUGACACAGUGGUUCAGUGUCACGACAUAUUCUCUGUACAUUUGGGACCAUUUCUUCAACGUGGGUGUCUUUGUCUUCUUUUGAAAUUUCAAUUGCCAUUGAAUAGUUUGAUAAUUGUGGCUCCUAAUUUUUCUGGAAAUUUCAAUGUGGCUGUAGAAAAGUUUGAUAGUUGUCACUCUCAUACGUAGGACCGGCUAAAACAAAGGCAUCACUAUGAAAAACGCGUUUAUAAAAAUGUUUUAUUUAAACAUUUUUCUACACCGAAAGUAGCGUUUGAUUAUCUUAAAAUUGUGAAUAUAAUGGGAUGCUAUUUGAUUGAUGAGAAGAGUACGAUGAUUGCGAACACCCAAAAAGUCUUUCAUCAAGGAGCCAGUUGAUUGAUUCUGCGUGGAUAUUUAUGUUACUGUUUUGGCUGAUAAAAUUAGAUCCGCUUGUCAGGGACGAGGAGGGAUUUGAACGCCCAACACCAUAGUUCGUAGCCACGUGCGAACCUUAAUGCUUUCUUCCUCUUUCCCUUCUUCUCAAGCUCUUACUCUUAUUGGCACAAAUAAAGUGUACGGCCAGACAACUUUUUCAAGAUCUCGGAUUGAAUCGGUAUAUCAAUAGAUAUAUAAUAUCUAUUUUGGGAUAUAAAAUUAAAUUUUAGAUCUCAUCACGGAGUUGACUUUGUGUAAGCCAAACAUGUUUUACAUACAUGUGUUGUUUUAGAACUGUUUUGAAUGAAUGUAUUGUAAAAUAAUUAAUGCUGUUUUUAUUGGUCUCCUUAUU